CCUCGCUGAGUAGUCUGGACC
rnacentral:miRNA from 1 species